GGCUCAGGAUGAACGCUAGCGACAGGCUUAACACAUGCAAGUCGAGGGGCAUCACGGGAGUAGCAAUACAACUGGUGGCGACCGGCGCACGGGUGAGUAACGCGUAUGCAACCUACCUAUCAGAGGGGAAUAACCCGGCGAAAGUCGGACUAAUACCGCAUAAAACAGGGGCACCGCAUGGUGAUAUUUGUUAAAGAAAUUCGCUGAUAGAUGGGCAUGCGUUCCAUUAGGUAGUUGGUGAGGUAACGGCUCACCAAGCCGACGAUGGAUAGGGGAACUGAGAGGUUGGUCCCCCACACUGGUACUGAGACACGGACCAGACUCCUACGGGAGGCAGCAGUGAGGAAUAUUGGUCAAUGGGCGGGAGCCUGAACCAGCCAAGUCGCGUGAAGGAAAAGAAGGAUCUAUGGUUCGUAAACUUCUUUUGCAGGGGAAUAAAGUGCAGGACGUGUCCUGUUUUGUAUGUACCCUGAGAAUAAGGAUCGGCUAACUCCGUGCCAGCAGCUGC
rnacentral:rRNA from 1 species